rnacentral:rRNA from 1 species
GACGUAGGGGGCGAGCGUUGUCCGGAUUUAUUGGGCGUAAAGCGCGCGUAGGCGGCCGCGCAAGUCGGAUGUGAAAUCCCGAGGCUCAACCUCGGGUCUGCAUCCGAUACUGCCCGGCUAGAGGUAGGUAGGGGAGAUCGGAAUUCCUGGUGUAGCGGUGAAAUGCGCAGAUAUCAGGAAGAACACCGACGGCGAAGGCAGCUCGCUGGGACGGUACUGACGCUGAGGCGCGAAAGCGUGGGGAGCGAACAGG